rnacentral:rRNA from 1 species
GACGAACGCUGGCGGCGCGCCUAACACAUGCAAGUCGAACGGAGUUUCCCCUUCGGGGGGAGCUUAGUGGCGGACGGGUGGAGUAACACGUGAGGAACCUGCCUUUGUAGAGCGGGAUACCGUCUGGAAACGGACGUUAAUACCGCAUAAUGCAGCGAGGCCACAUGGCCAUGCUGCCAAAGAUUUAUCGCUCAAAGAUGGCCUCGCGCCUGAUUAGAUAGUUGGCGGGGUAACGGCCCACCAAGUCUGCGAUCAGUAGCCGGACUGAGAGGUCGAACGGCCACAUUGGGACUGAGAUACGGCCCAGACUCCUACGGGAGGCAGCAGUGGGGGAUAUUGCACAAUGGGCGAAAGCCUGAUGCAGCGACGCCGCGUGAGGGAAGACGGUUUUCGGAUUGUAAACCUCUGUCUUCGGGGACGAAACAAGACGGUACCCGAGGAGGAAGCCACGGCUAACUACGUG